rnacentral:rRNA from 1 species
GAUCGAUGGCUCAGGACGAACGCUGGCGGCGUGCUUAACACAUGCAAGUCGAACGAUGAAGCUGGAGCUUGCUCUAGUGGAUUAGUGGCGAACGGGUGAGUAACACGUGAGCAAUCUGCCCUUGACUCUGGGAUAACUGCGGGAAACUGUAGCUAAUACCGGAUACGACACCUUGGGGCAUCCGCGGGUUUGGAAAGUUUUUCGGUGAAGAUGAUCUCGCGGCCUAUCAGCUUGUUGGUGAGGUAAUGGCUCACCAAGGCGACGACGGGUAGCCGGCCUGAGAGGGCGACCGGCCACACUGGGACUGAGACACGGCCCAGACUCCUACGGGAGGCAGCAGUGGGGAAUAUUGGGCAAUGGAGGAAACUCUGACCCAGCGACGCCGCGUGCGGGAUGAAGGCCUUCGGGUUGUAAACCGCUUUCAGCAGGGAAGAAGCGAAAGUGACGGUACCUGCAGAAGAAGCACCGGCUAACUAUGUG